rnacentral:rRNA from 1 species
ACAGCAGCCGCCGCGGUAAUACGAAGGGGGCUAGCGUUGCUCGGAAUCACUGGGUGUAAAGGGUGCGUAGGCGGGUUUUUUAAGUCAGAGGUGAAAUCCUGGAGCUCAACUCCAGAACUGCCUUUGAUACUGAAAGUCUUGAGUAUGGGAGAGGUGAGUGGAACUGCGAGUGUAGAGGUGAAAUUCGUAGAUAUUCGCAAGAACACCAGUGGCGAAGGCGGCUCACUGGCCCAUAACUGACGCUGAGGCAUGAAAGCGUGGGGAGCAAACAGGAUUAGAUACCCGAGUAGUCCCUGUCUCUUAUA